AUUGAACGCUGGCGGCAGGCUUAACACAUGCAAGUCGAGCGGAGCGAGGGUGCUUGCACCUUAGCUUAGCGGCGGACGGGUGAGUAAUGCUUAGGAAUCUGCCUAUUAGUGGGGGACAACAUUCCGAAAGGGAUGCUAAUACCGCAUACGCCCUACGGGGGAAAGCAGGGGAUCUUCGGACCUUGCGCUAAUAGAUGAGCCUAAGUCGGAUUAGCUAGUUGGUGGGGUAAAGGCCUACCAAGGCGACGAUCUGUAGCGGGUCUGAGAGGAUGAUCCGCCACACUGGGACUGAGACACGGCCCAGACUCCUACGGGAGGCAGCAGUGGGGAAUAUUGGACAAUGGGCGGAAGCCUGAUCCAGCCAUGCCGCGUGUGUGAAGAAGGCCUUUUGGUUGUAAAGCACUUUAAGCGAGGAGGAGGCUACUUAGAUUAAUACUCUGGGAUAGUGGACGUUACUCGCAGAAUAAGCACCGGCUAACUCUGUGCCAGCAGCCGCCGCCGUAAGAC
rnacentral:rRNA from 1 species